UUCCGGUUGAUCCCGCCGGAGGCUACCGCUAUUGGAGUUCGAUUAAGCCAUGCGAGUCGCGAGUCUUAGGGACUCGGCGUACCGCUCAGUAACACGUGGGUAACCUGCCCUAUGCUGGGGGAUAACCUCGGGAAACUGAGAAUAAUACCCCAUAGUUCACCACGCCUGGAACGGUGGGUGGAUGAAAGCUCCGGCGGCAUAGGAUGGGCCUGCGGCGUAUCAGGUUGUAGGGGGUGUAAUGUACCCUCUAGCCCUCUACGCGUACGGGUGUUGAGAGACAUCGCCCGGAGAUGGAUUCUGAGACACGAAUCCAGACCCUACGGGGUGCAGCAGGCGCGAAAACUUGGCAAUGCGAGAAAUCGUGACCAGGGAACUCCAAGUGCAUCGGGUAAGACCGAUGCUUUUCUUGACUCUUCAAAGGUCUUGGAAUAAGGGGUGGGUAAGGACGGUGCCAGCCGCCGCGGUAAUACCGGCGCCUCAAGUGGUAGUCGCUUUUAUUGGGCCUAAAACGUCCGUAGCCGGUUUGGUACAUUCGUGGGUAAAUCAAGGCGCUCAACGUCUUGAAUUCUGCGAGCACGGCCAGACUUGGGACCGGGUGAGGUGUGGGGUACUCUCAGGGUAGGGGUAAAAUCCUGUCAUCCUGAGAGGACCACCUGUUGCGAAGGCGCCACACUAGAACGGAUCCGACGGUCAGGGACGAAGCCUAGGGGCACGAACCGGAUUAGAUACCCGGGUAGUCCUAGGUGUAAACGCUGUGGACUUGAUGUUGGGAGUGCUCCGAGCGCACUCAGUGUCGAAGCGAAGGUGAUAAGUCCACUGCCUGGGGAGUACGGUCGCAAGGCUGAAACUUAAAGGAAUUGGCGGGGGAGCACCGCAACCUGAGGAUUGUGCGGUUUAAUUGGAUUCAACGCCGG
rnacentral:rRNA from 1 species